rnacentral:rRNA from 1 species
AUUUAAUUACAAUGAAGAGUUUGAUCCUGGCUCAGGAUGAACGCUAGCGGCAGGCUUAACACAUGCAAGUCGAGGGGCAGCACUUCGGGUGGCGACCGGCGCACGGGUGAGUAACGCGUAUGCAACCUACCUCCGACCGGGGGAUAGCCCAGGGAAACUUGGAUUAAUACCCCAUAGGACCGGCGUGCCGCAUGGCACGGCGGUUAAAGUUCCGGCGGUCGGGGAUGGGCAUGCGUGCCAUUAGGUAGUUGGCGGGGUAACGGCCCACCAAGCCUUCGAUGGCUACGGGGUCUAAAAGGAUGGUCCCGCACACUGGUACUGAGACACGGACCAGACUCCUACGGGAGGCAGCAGUGAGGAAUAUUGGUCAAUGGGGGCAACCCUGAACCAGCCAUGCCGCGUGGAGGAAGACGGCCCUAUGGGUUGUAAACUCCUUUUGCACGGGAAUAAAGGUACCCACGUGUGGGUGCGUGAAGGUACCGUGCGAAUAAGCAUCGGCUAACUCCGUGCCAGCAGCCGCGGUAAUACGGAGGAUGCAGGCGUUAUCCGGAUUUAUUAGGUUUAAAGGGUGCGCAGGCGGCCCGGUAAGUCAGCGGUGAAAGUUUGCAGCUCAACUGUAAAAUUGCCAUUGAUACUGCCGGGCUUGAAUACGGUAGAGGUAGGCGGAAUGUGUAGUGUAGCGGUGAAAUGCUUAGAUAUUACACAGAACACCGAUUGCGAAGGCAGCUUACUAUGCCGCGAUUGACGCUCAGGCACGAAAGCGUGGGUAGCGAACAGGAUUAGAUACCCUGGUAGUCCACGCCGUAAACGAUGAUUACUGGUUGUGCGCGAUAUACAGUGCGCGACUGAGGGAAACCAUUAAGUAAUCCACCUGGGGAGUACGUUCGCAAGAAUGAAACUCAAAGGAAUUGACGGGGGCCCGCACAAGCGGAGGAACAUGUGGUUUAAUUCGAUGAUACGCGAGGAACCUUACCUGGGCUUAAAUGUAGAGUGCAUUAGGUGGAAACACCUAUUCCCUUCGGGGCCCUCUACAAGGUGCUGCAUGGUUGUCGUCAGCUCGUGCCGUGAGGUGUCGGGUUAAGUCCCAUAACGAGCGCAACCCCUAUCGUUAGUUGCCAGCGGGUAAUGCCGGGGACUCUAGCGAAACUGCCGGUGUAAACCGAGAGGAAGGUGGGGAUGACGUCAAAUCAGCACGGCCCUUAUGUCCAGGGCUACACACGUGUUACAAUGGCCAGUACAAUGGGCAGCUACCGGGCGACCGGAUGCCAAUCUCCAAAGCUGGUCUCAGUUCGGAUCGGAGUCUGCAACUCGACUCCGUGAAGUUGGAUUCGCUAGUAAUCGUAUAUCAGCAAUGAUACGGUGAAUACGUUCCCGGGCCUUGUACACACCGCCCGUCAAGCCAUGGAAGCUGGGGGUACCUGAAGUGCGUAACCGCGAGGAGCGCCCUAGGGUAAAACUAGUGACUGGGGCUAAGUCGUAACAAGGUAGCCGUACCGGAAGGUGUGGCUGGAACACCUCCUUUCUGGAG